CAGAAUGCCGGACAUAAUGGUUCAGCCGGUAUUCCGGCUGCUAAGAGGGAAUCAGGUGAUAAUCCUGAACGAGCCCGUCGCUGUAAAAGAUUAGUCCGCUAAGCACCAAGUGCCGGUGAAAAAGUCACUGGGGCAGCUCUGCUCCGGGAAGACAGAUGCGGAUGCCAUAUCUUGAGUCAGAAGACCUGCCUUAUGUGAAAAGUAUUG
rnacentral:ncRNA from 2 species